rnacentral:lncRNA from 1 species
AAGAAUUCAAGAUGCAACAUCAGUUCAUAUGAAAUGCACAAAAAUUACAUGUGAAUAAUAAACAGCUUCAACGCAGAAGAGAUUAGCAUUAGGUGACAUUUAACUAAAGAAUCAUAUAUUUUGGUAAGCAGAAGUCUCACAUUUCCAACAAAGACAAAUUGAGAAUCCAUUUUUUUUUUCCGGAAAAUUGAGUACCAACUUAGCUUAACAACGAUAUAUACAAAGAACCCAUUUUGGGGCUACAAAAAUCUGGUCCAAAAUAAAAAUUUAACAUAGCCAUAAAGCCACAAGUGAGCAAUCAUAUACCUAAAUGUAAGUCACAGUAAUCAAGGACCAAAUGAAGGUCUGAAAAUAGAAGAAGCGAGGCUCAGCAAAUCAGUUGUACCGCAGUGGAAAUCAGCAGGAUUGAACAACGAUUUGAAUCUAGAUUGAACCAUGGACGCGACUUCGACGACUCAACCUCGGAGCUGCGCUUUUUAUGCAAAAAAAAAUUUGUUUGGUGUUGAAUUUCAGCAAGCUUUUGGCUGGUUUUCGAGCUAUUUCGCAACUUGUCUCGCUGCUUCUUUCCGGCAAAUUUUCAUGCGUUCUUUGGGGUAAGUUCAUCGGUAAUGUUGGUGUUAUAUUUUUGUUAAAUUUUCAGCUCAUUUUUGGAGCUAUUUUCAUGUCGUUUUGGGUGAGAUUUUCAGCUGGUUGAACGGCUGGUUACAAUUUUGGAGUUGGAUUUGAAAUGGGAUGUGUGAGGACGGUGAGGGGUUUUAUUGUGUUACAGCGUUUCUAGCAUCCUUUCCUUAAAGGGAAAGGGUUGGAUCCGUUUUUUGAAGAGAGGGUUUCUUCAUUUCUUCUUUCUCUAUAUAUCUUUUAUAAGCAGAAGAUGAAAAAAUGGUUUUAGGUGCGCUGUUUCCCUCUAUGUAUUUUUU